CGUAGGGUCCAAGCGUUAUCCGGAAUUACUGGGCGUAAAGAGUUGCGUAGGUGGCAUAGUAAGCGAAUAGUGAAAUGACGGGGCUCAACCUCGUGUCCAUUAUUUGAACUGCUAAGCUAGAGAAUGAGAGAGGUCACUGGAAUUCCCUGUGUAGGAGUGAAAUCCGUAGAUAUAGGGAGGAACACCGAUGGCGUAGGCAGGUGACUGGCUCAUUUCUGACACUAAGGCACGAAAGCGUGGGUAGCAAACGGGAUUAGAUACCCCGGUAGUCCACGCCGUAAACUAUGGAUGCUAGCUGUUAUAGGUAUCGACCCCUGUAGUAGCGAAGCUAACGCGUUAAGCAUCCCGCCUGUGGAGUACGAGCGCAAGCUUA
rnacentral:rRNA from 1 species